rnacentral:rRNA from 1 species
UGGGGAAUUUUGGACAAUGGGGGAAACCCUGAUCCAGCCAUCCCGCGUGUGCGAUGAAGGCCUUCGGGUUGUAAAGCACUUUUGGCAGGAAAGAAACGUCAUGGGUUAAUACCCCGUGAAACUGACGGUACCUGCAGAAUAAGCACCGGCUAACUACGUGCCAGCAGCCGCGGUAAUACGUAGGGUGCAAGCGUUAAUCGGAAUUACUGGGCGUAAAGCGUGCGCAGGCGGUUCGGAAAGAAAGAUGUGAAAUCCCAGAGCUCAACUUUGGAACUGCAUUUUUAACUACUGGGCUAGAGUGUGUCAGAGGGAGGUGGAAUUCCGCGUGUAGCAGUGAAAUGCGUAGAUAUGCGGAGGAACACCGAUGGCGAAGGCAGCCGCCUGGGAUAACACUGACGCUCAUGCACGAAAGCGUGGGGAGCAAACAGG